AUUGAACGCUGGCGGCAUGCCUUACACAUGCAAGUCGAACGGCAGCACGGGGCAACCUGGUGGCGAGUGGCGAACGGGUGAGUAAUGCAUCGGAACGUACCUUUCAGUGGGGGAUAACGUAGCGAAAGUUACGCUAAUACCGCAUAUUCUGUGAGCAGGAAAGCAGGGGAUCGCAAGACCUUGCGCUGAUUGAGCGGCCGAUGUCAGAUUAGCUAGUUGAUGAGGUAAAGGCUGACAAAGGCGACGAUCUGUAGCGGGUCUGAGAGGAUGAUCGGCCACACUGGAACUGAGACACGGUCAAGACUCCUACGGGAGGCAGCAGUGGGGAAUUUUGGACAAUGGGGGCAACCCUGAUCCAGCCAUGCCGCGUGAGUGAAGAAGGCCUUCGGGUUGUAAAGCUCUUUCGGCCGGGAAGAAAUCGCACGGGCUAAUACCCUGUGUGGAUGACGGUACCGGAAUAAGAAGCACCGGCUAACUACGUGCCAGCCGCCGCGGUAAGAC
rnacentral:rRNA from 1 species